CAAAAAUACCAAAAUUUUUAAUCAAAAUCACUUAAAAAAAUUUCACAAAAAAUAAACUAAAAAUUAAAUAAUAUUAAAAUACAAAUCAAAAUUAAAUAAUUCCCUGACUAAAGCCAUGCUUAGCGUAUUGCUAACUGACAGAUCUUAGUAUUGCUGAUGCUGGAUAAAAAAUACAACAAUAAAAUCUUAAGCUGGAUAUCGGCUUCGAAACUUUUGCUGAAUAACCGAAACAAACAACAACAGACGAGAAAUGGAAAAGUAAAGUUAAAGUUGAUAAAGGUUACACCACAAGUUGUGCAAUGUCACUCUCAAUAAAAUAAAAAUAAG